rnacentral:snRNA from 1 species
AUCACUUCUUGGCCUUUUGGCUAAGAUCAAGUG